UACGUAGGGUGCAAGCGUUUGUCCGGAAUUAUUGGGCGUAGAGAGCUCGUAGGCGGUUUGUCGCGUCUGCUGUGAAAACGCGGGGCUCAACUCCGCGCCUCAGUGGGUACGGGCAGACUAGAGUGCAGUAGGGGAGACUGGAAUUCCUGGUGUAGCGGUGGAAUGCGCAGAUAUCAGGAGGAACACCGGUGGCGAAAGGCGGGUCUCUGGGCUGUAACUACGUGGAGGAG
rnacentral:rRNA from 1 species